ACUCUUGCUUCUGCAAUAGGUUCUCAACGUUUGAACGCUACUUUUCGCGUUUUAGCAUAGAGUUAAACGGGAAAUCGGUGCGCUACAGUCUUUGUACUAAAGCUAUUCCGAUACUGCCCCCGCAACGGUAAAUAAGAAUGUUUGGUAGUAGUUCCACUGUGCAUACGCAUGGGAAGGUUGCCAAAUAGAGCAAUUGCUCACUUAUGAGUCCGGAGACCGGCCUGUCGCUACGCAGACAA
rfam:SAR92 bacterium BACL26 MAG-121220-bin70 contig00445_1_121220-bin70, whole genome shotgun sequence.